AUUGAACGCUGGCGGCAUGCCUUACACAUGCAAGUCGAACGGCAGCACGGAGCUUGCUCUGGUGGCGAGUGGCGAACGGGUGAGUAAUAUAUCGGAACGUACCCAGGAGUGGGGGAUAACGUAGCGAAAGUUACGCUAAUACCGCAUACGUCCUAAGGGAGAAAGUGGGGGAUCGCAAGACCUCAUGCUCAUGGGGCGGCCGAUAUCUGAUUAGCUAGUUGGUAGGGUAAAAGCCUACCAAGGCAACGAUCAGUAGCUGGUCUGAGAGGACGACCAGCCACACUGGAACUGAGACACGGUCCAGACUCCUACGGGAGGCAGCAGUGGGGAAUUUUGGACAAUGGGCGCAAGCCUGAUCCAGCAAUGCCGCGUGAGUGAAGAAGGCCUUCGGGUUGUAAAGCUCUUUUGUCAGGGAAGAAAAGGGAUUGGCUAAUAUCUGAUCCUCAUGACGGUACCUGAAGAAUAAGCACCGGCUAACUACGUGCCAGCAGCCGCGGUAAUACGUAGGGUGCAAGCGUUAAUCGGAAUUACUGGGCGUAAAGCGUGCGCAGGCGGUUUUGUAAGACUGUCGUGAAAUCCCCGGGCUCAACCUGGGAAUGGCGAUGGUGACUGCAAGGCUAGAGUUUGGCAGAGGGGGGUAGAAUUCCACGUGUAGCAGUGGAAUGCGUAGAUAUGUGGAGGAACACCGAUGGCGAAGGCAGCCCCCUGGGUCAAAACUGACGCUCAUGCACGAAAAGCGUGGGGAGCAAACAGGAUUAGAUACCCUGGUAGUCCACGCCCUAAAACGAUGUCUACUAGUUGUCGGGUCUUAAUUGACUUGGUAACGCAGCUAACGCGUGAAGUAGACCGCCUGGGGAGUACGGUCGCAAGAUUAAAACUCAAAGGAAUUGACGGGGAC
rnacentral:rRNA from 1 species